GAUGAACGCUGGCGGCGUGCUUAACACAUGCAAGUCGAACGAUGAAGCCCAGCUUGCUGGGUGGAUUAGUGGCGAACGGGUGAGUAACACGUGAGUAACCUGCCCUUAACUCUGGGAUAAGCCUGGGAAACUGGGUCUAAUACCGGAUAGGAGCGUCCACCGCAUGGUGGGUGUUGGAAAGAUUUAUCGGUUUUGGAUGGACUCGCGGCCUAUCAGCUUGUUGGUGAGGUAAUGGCUCACCAAGGCGACGACGGGUAGCCGGCCUGAGAGGGUGACCGGCCACACUAGGACUGAGACACGGCCCAGACUCCGACGGGAGGCAGCAGUGGGGAAUGUUGCACAAUGGGCGGAAGCCUGAUGCAGCGACGCCGCGUGGGGGAUGACGGCCUUCGGGUUGUAAACCUCUUUCAGUAGGGAAGAAGCGAAAGUGACGGUACCUGCAGAAGAAGCACCGGCUAACUACGUG
rnacentral:rRNA from 1 species